rnacentral:rRNA from 1 species
UACGUAGGGCGCAAGCGUUGUCCGGAAUUAUUGGGCGUAAAGAGCUCGUAGGCGGUCUGUCGCGUCUGCUGUGAAAACCCGAGGCUCAACCUCGGGCUUGCAGUGGGUACGGGCAGACUAGAGUGCGGUAGGGGAGAACGGAAUUCCUGGUGUAGCGGUGGAAUGCGCAGAUAUCAGGAGGAACACCGAUGGCGAAGGCAGUUCUCUGGGCCGUAACUGACGCUGAGGAGCGAAAGCGUGGGGAGCAAACAGG